rnacentral:rRNA from 1 species
AGCGAGAUGUGAAAGCCCCGGGCUCAACCUGGGAACUGCAUUUCGAACUGGCAAACUAGAGUGUGAUAGAGGGUGGUAGAAUUUCAGGUGUAGCGGUGAAAUGCGUAGAGAUCUGAAGGAAUACCGAUGGCGAAGGCAGCCACCUGGGUCAACACUGACGCUCAU